UGAUGAGGUUAAUAGGUUCGAGGUGGAAGCAUGGUGACAUGUGGAGCUGACGAAUACUAAUCGAUCGAAGACUUAGAUAUGUGAAUACAUAGCAUAUCAGAAGGCACACCCGGAGAACUGAAACAUCUUAGUACCCGGAGGAAGAGAAAGAAAAUUCGAUUCCCUUAGUAGCGGCGAGCGAAACGGGAAGAGCCCAAACCAAGAAGCUUGCUUGUUGGGGUUGUAGGACACUCUAUACGGAGUUACAAAGGACGACAUUAGACGAAUCAUCUGGAAAGAUGAAUCAAAGAAGGUAAUAAUCCUGUAGUCGAAAAUGUUGUCUCUCUUGAGUGGAUCCUGAGUACGACGGAGCACGUGAAAUUCCGUCGGAAUCUGGGAGGACCAUCUCCUAAGGCUAAAUACUCUCUAGUGACCGAUAGUGAACCAGUACCGUGAGGGAAAGGUGAAAAGCACCCCGGAAGGGGAGUGAAAUAGAACCUGAAACCGUGUGCUUACAAGUAGUCAGAGCCCGUUAAUGGGUGAUGGCGUGCCUUUUGUAGAAUGAACCGGCGAGUUACGAUUUGAUGCAAGGUUAAGCAGUAAAUGUGGAGCCGUAGCGAAAGCGAGUCUGAAUAGGGCGUUUAGUAUUUGGUCGUAGACCCGAAACCAGGUGAUCUACCCUUGGUCAGGUUGAAGUUCAGGUAACACUGAAUGGAGGACCGAACCGACUUACGUUGAAAAGUGAGCGGAUGAACUGAGGGUAGCGGAGAAAUUCCAAUCGAACCUGGAGAUAGCUGGUUCUCUCCGAAAUAGCUUUAGGGCUAGCCUCAAGUGAUGAUUAUUGGAGGUAGAGCACUGUUUGGACGAGGGGCCCCUCUCGGGUUACCGAAUUCAGACAAACUCCGAAUGCCAAUUAAUUUAACUUGGGAGUCAGAACAUGGGUGAUAAGGUCCGUGUUCGAAAGGGAAACAGCCCAGACCACCAGCUAAGGUCCCAAAAUAUAUGUUAAGUGGAAAAGGAUGUGGCGUUGCCCAGACAACUAGGAUGUUGGCUUAGAAGCAGCCAUCAUUUAAAGAGUGCGUAAUAGCUCACUAGUCGAGUGACACUGCGCCGAAAAUGUACCGGGGCUAAACAUAUUACCGAAGCUGUGGAUUGUCCUUUGGACAAUGGUAGGAGAGCGUUCUAAGGGCGUUGAAGCAUGAUCGUAAGGACAUGUGGAGCGCUUAGAAGUGAGAAUGCCGGUGUGAGUAGCGAAAGACGGGUGAGAAUCCCGUCCACCGAUUGACUAAGGUUUCCAGAGGAAGGCUCGUCCGCUCUGGGUUAGUCGGGUCCUAAGCUGAGGCCGACAGGCGUAGGCGAUGGAUAACAGGUUGAUAUUCCUGUACCACCUAUAAUCGUUUUAAUCGAUGGGGGGACGCAGUAGGAUAGGCGAAGCGUGCGAUUGGAUUGCACGUCUAAGCAGUAAGGCUGAGUAUUAGGCAAAUCCGGUACUCGUUAAGGCUGAGCUGUGAUGGGGAGAAGACAUUGUGUCUUCGAGUCGUUGAUUUCACACUGCCGAGAAAAGCCUCUAGAUAGAAAAUAGGUGCCCGUACCGCAAACCGACACAGGUAGUCAAGAUGAGAAUUCUAAGGUGAGCGAGCGAACUCUCGUUAAGGAACUCGGCAAAAUGACCCCGUAACUUCGGGAGAAGGGGUGCUCUUUAGGGUUAACGCCCAGAAGAGCCGCAGUGAAUAGGCCCAAGCGACUGUUUAUCAAAAACACAGGUCUCUGCUAAACCGUAAGGUGAUGUAUAGGGGCUGACGCCUGCCCGGUGCUGGAAGGUUAAGAGGAGUGGUUAGCUUCUGCGAAGCUACGAAUCGAAGCCCCAGUAAACGGCGGCCGUAACUAUAACGGUCCUAAGGUAGCGAAAUUCCUUGUCGGGUAAGUUCCGACCCGCACGAAAGGCGUAACGAUUUGGGCACUGUCUCAACGAGAGACUCGGUGAAAUCAUAGUACCUGUGAAGAUGCAGGUUACCCGCGACAGGACGGAAAGACCCCGUGGAGCUUUACUGUAGCCUGAUAUUGAAAUUCGGCACAGCUUGUACAGGAUAGGUAGGAGCCUUUGAAACGUGAGCGCUAGCUUACGUGGAGGCGCUGGUGGGAUACUACCCUAGCUGUGUUGGCUUUCUAACCCGCACCACUUAUCGUGGUGGGAGACAGUGUCAGGCGGGCAGUUUGACUGGGGCGGUCGCCUCCUAAAAGGUAACGGAGGCGCUCAAAGGUUCCCUCAGAAUGGUUGGAAAUCAUUCAUAGAGUGUAAAGGCAUAAGGGAGCUUGACUGCGAGACCUACAAGUCGAGCAGGGUCGAAAGACGGACUUAGUGAUCCGGUGGUUCCGCAUGGAAGGGCCAUCGCUCAACGGAUAAAAGCUACCCCGGGGAUAACAGGCUUAUCUCCCCCAAGAGUUCACAUCGACGGGGAGGUUUGGCACCUCGAUGUCGGCUCAUCGCAUCCUGGGGCUGUAGUCGGUCCCAAGGGUUGGGCUGUUCGCCCAUUAAAGCGGUACGCGAGCUGGGUUCAGAACGUCGUGAGACAGUUCGGUCCCUAUCCGUCGUGGGCGUAGGAAAUUUGAGAGGAGCUGUCCUUAGUACGAGAGGACCGGGAUGGACAUACCUCUGGUGUACCAGUUGUCGUGCCAACGGCAUAGCUGGGUAGCUAUGUGUGGACGGGAUAAGUGCUGAAAGCAUCUAAGCAUGAAGCCCCCCUCAAGAUGAGAUUUCCCAACUUCGGUUAUAAGAUCCCUCAAAGAUGAUGAGGUUAAUAGGUUCGAGGUGGAAGCAUGGUGACAUGUGGAGCUGACGAAUACUAAUCGAUCGAAGACUUAAUCAA
rnacentral:rRNA from 1 species